CUACGGUCUCAGUUCAGAUUGCAGGCUGCAACUCGCCUGCAUGAAGUUGGAAUUGCUAGUAAUCGCGAAUCAGAAUGUCGCGGUGAAUACGUUCCCGGGCCUUGUACACACCGCCCGUCACACCAUGAGAGUCGAUAACACCCGAAGCCUGUGAGCUAACCUUUUAGGAGGCAGCAGUCGAAGGUGGGGUUGAUGAUUGGGGUGAAGUCGUAACAAGGUAAC
rnacentral:rRNA from 1 species